GGAUGCACUAACUGUAAGUCGCUCUGGAUAAGAGCAUCUGCUAAAUAACUCAAA
rfam:Salmo salar isolate Sally breed double haploid chromosome ssa16, whole genome shotgun sequence.